rnacentral:rRNA from 1 species
AUGGUGGUGUUGUCUGAAGAAAAAGACAGAGCAUUCAGAGGGGGAAAACAGGGAAAGGAAGAAGAGAGAGAGACGGAGAUGGCAGGGCACGGCGACCUGCGGAACGACUGGGGCGACGGCCUGAUGCUGCUGCUGGUGGCGCUCGAGACGAAGCUAGAACGGGGGCAGCCAUGGUGUUCCUGUGCACGGGGAAGAUGUGAGACAGAUAAGAGAAAGAGAGGGGAGUUAGAGGAAAAGGAAGGGAAGAAAAGGAGCAGGGGCGGCGAGCAGUUCCUGUUGGUGCUCGGCGUCAAGGUGCGUCGGGGCGGUGCUGCUGGUCCGGCGGCUGGACUCCGCGAGAAGAGGUGGUCCUGGAUGAGGAGGAGGAUUGCACGAUCGGGAGCACCUCUCCUGAUCGAGCUCGUGGAUGAGGGGGUCGAGCGCUCGGGCUCUAGAUCGAGAGGAGGAGGGGCUCGCUGGUUGGGUUGGUGGUGA